AACGAACGCUGGCGGCAGGCUUAACACAUGCAAGUCGAGCGCCCCGCAAGGGGAGCGGCAGACGGGUGAGUAACGCGUGGGAAUCUACCCAUCUCUACGGAAUAACGCAUGGAAACGUGUGCUAAUACCGUAUACGUCCUUCGGGAGAAAGAUUUAUCGGAGAUGGAUGAGCCCGCGUUGGAUUAGCUAGUUGGUGGGGUAAAGGCCUACCAAGGCGACGAUCCAUAGCUGGUCUGAGAGGAUGAUCAGCCACACUGGGACUGAGACACGGCCCAGACUCCUACGGGAGGCAGCAGUGGGGAAUAUUGGACAAUGGGCGCAAGCCUGAUCCAGCCAUGCCGCGUGAGUGAUGAAGGCCCUAGGGUUGUAAAGCUCUUUCACCGGUGAAGAUAAUGACGGUAACCGGAGAAGAAGCCCCGGCUAACUUCGUGCCAGCAGCCGCGGUAAUACGAAGGGGGCUAGCGUUGUUCGGAUUUACUGGGCGUAAAGCGCACGUANGCGGACUAUUAAGUCAGGGGUGAAAUCCCGGGGCUCAACCCCGGAACUGCCUUUGAUACUGGUAGUCUUGAG
rnacentral:rRNA from 1 species